GACGAACGCUGGCGGCGUGCUUAACACAUGCAAGUCGAACGAAGCAUUUUGGGUGCUUGCACUUGAAAUGACUUAGUGGCGGACGGGUGAGUAACGCGUGAGGAACCUGCCUACAUCAGGGGGACAACAGUUAGAAAUGACUGCUAAUACCGCAUAAGACCACAGGAUGGCAUCAUCUAGGGGUAAAAGAGAUAUGUAUCGGAUGUAGAUGGCCUCGCGUCCUAUUAGUUAGUUGGUGGGGUAAAUGGCCUACCAAGACCGCGAUAGGUAGCCGACCUGAGAGGGUGAAACGGCCACACUGGAACUGAGAGACGGGACCAGACUCCUACGGGAGGCAGCAGUGGGGAAUAUUGGGGCCAAAUGGGGGAAACCCUGACCCAGCAACGCCGCGUGAAGGAA
rnacentral:rRNA from 1 species